AAUGGCACUUAACGAUGUCAUGCAAUCACAAGUGCAAAAACAAAAAGGCCGCUGUUUUUAUUCUCAAAAAAAUAGAAUAAAGGAACACAAUAAUGCUGGGAUCAGGCAUUUU